CUCCAGACCACACUCAGUACCAUGGGUGGGCAGACGAGGAGGGGGAGAAAGCCCACAAGUGAUGCAAGAGAAGCCAGUCCCUAAGCUGUAGGGGUCCCUGAAGUGACUAGUGCUAAAAUAACUGAAUUUGAAGAUAUUACUGUGAGAGAUCCCUUGCUGAAACAAAUGAAAGGGAGACCUACCCCACGAGGGUCCUGGACAGAUGGCUAGCAGGAAGGAAGUGGUGAGAAAUAGGAAGGAGAAGGAACCUUCUCACGGAGAUGCUUGCCAUCAGGAGCUGGGUGCAAAGGUAAUGCCAAGCAAACAGGAUUGGGAAUUAGUCUGCUUAGACAUGAGGACAAAUUUUAUUUCCUUUCUCUGCAAAGCAAAUGAAUACUCCACCUUGCAGUUUUU
rnacentral:lncRNA from 1 species